GGGCAGUUAGCUCAGCGGUAGAGCAUCGCCUUCACACGGCGGGGGUCACAGGUUCAAACCCUGUACUGCCCACCA
rnacentral:tRNA from 22 species